rnacentral:rRNA from 1 species
UGAAUACGAGAUGCUACGGCAUCGAAGCAGUCUAUGUCGUACUUCCUAGAAAAGCUUGCACUGUCAUAAACAAAUAAUGCCUGUACCAUAACCGACACAGGUGGGUAGGUAGAGUAUACUAAGGGGCGCGAGAUAACUCUCUCUAAGGAACUCGGCAAAAUGACUCCGUAACUUCGGGAGAAGGAGUGCCUUAUUUUAUAAGGUUGCAAUAACAAGAUCCAAGCAACUGUUUACCAAAAACACAGGUCUCCGCUAAGUCGUAAGACGAUGUAUGGGGGCUGACGCCUGCCCAGUGCCAGAAGGUUAAAGAAGUUGGUUAGCAUUAGCGAAGCUGAUAACUGAAGCCCUGGUGAACGGCGGCCGUAACAAUAACGGUCCUAAGGUAGCGAAAUUCCUUGUCGGGUAAGUUCCGACCCGCACGAAAGGCGUAAUGAUUUGGAUACUGUCUCGGAGAGGGGCUCGGUGAAAUAGACUUGUCUGUGAAGAUGCGGACUACCUGCACCAGGACAGAAAGACCCUAUGAAGCUUUACUGUAACUUGAGAUUGAAAUUGGACUUUAUUUGCGCAGUAUAGGUGGGAGACGUUGAAAAUAUUCUUGCGGGAAUAUUGGAGUCAUCAGUGAGAUACCACUCUUAUAAUGUUAGAUUUCUAACUUUGUAUCAUUAUCUGGUCAAAGAACAGUCUCAGGCGGGCAGUUUGACUGGGGCGGUCGCCUCCCAAACGGUAACGGAGGCGCACAAAGGUUUCCUCUGAACGUGUAGAAAUCGUAUCUAGAGUGUAAAGGCAUAAGGAAGCUUGACUGUGAGACCUACAAGUCGAGCAGGGACGAAAGUCGGUCUUAGUGAUCUGACGGUGCUGAGUGGAAAGGCCGUCACUCAACGGAUAAAAGUUACUCUAGGAUAACAGGCUGAUCUCCCCCAAGAGUUCACAUCGACGGGGAGGUUUGGCACCUCGAUGUUGGCUCAUCGCAUCCUGGGGCGGUAGUACGUCCCAAGGGUUGGGCUGUUCGCCCAUGAAAGCGGUACGCGAGCUGGGUUCAGAACGUCGUGAGACAGUUCGGUCCAUAUCCGGUGUAGGCGUUAGAAUAUUGAGAGGAGCCUUCUUUAGUACGAGAGGACCGAGAAGGACAUACCUCUGGUGUACCAGUUAUCGUGCCAACGGUAAACGCUGGGUAGCUAUGUAUGGAGAGGAUAACCGCUGAAAGCAUCUAAGUGGGAAGCCCACCUCAAGAUAAGUAUUCUU